CCUACGGGGGGCAGCAGUGGGGAAUAUUGGACAAUGGGGGGAACCCUGAUCCAGCCAUGCCGCGUGUGUGAAGAAGGCCCUCGGGUUGUAAAGCACUUUCAGUGAGGAAGAACGCCUGGUGGUUAAUACCCAUCAGGAAGGACAUCACUCACAGAAGAAGCACCGGCUAACUCCGUGCCAGCAGCCGCGGUAAUACGGAGGGUGCGAGCGUUAAUCGGAAUUACUGGGCGUAAAGCGCGCGUAGGUGGCUUGAUAAGCCGGUUGUGAAAGCCCCGGGCUCAACCUGGGAACGGCAUCCGGAACUGUCAAGCUAGAGUGCAGGAGAGGAAGGUAGAAUUCCCGGUGUAGCGGCGAAAUGCGUAGAGAUCGGGAGGAAUACCAGUGGCGAAGGCGGCCUUCUGGACUGACACUGACACUGAGGUGCGAAAGCGUGGGUAGCAAACAGGAUUAGAUACCCUAGUAGUC
rnacentral:rRNA from 1 species